UUUCUCAAAAAAAAAAGAAAAAAAAUGCUGGUUGCAAGCGCGGCAAUGGUGGAGAUCAAGGACACCACCACGUGCUUUCACUAGCUGACAGUGCCAUCCUCCCCGAUCUGCCUGCCACUCCGGCGCCCAUAGAGAGAGGAGAAAUGGCGGCCGCCGCCGCCCAAGCCACCUCGCCAGCUCGCCCCGCAUCCCGCUUCCUCUGCCUCCCCACCGCCAAAACCCCAAACCACCCCAUCCCCACACGCACCGGGGCUCCCAGCCACCGCGCGCGCCUCCGCUGCCACCUCUCCCACUCCAGUGAGUCCACCCCAACCCGAACCCCAACCCCGACCCUUACCACCUCAGACCCCGACCCCGACGACCCCCUCCGCGUCGCCUUCGCGUGCGGCGGCGCGGGCGCUGGCGGCCGCGUCUAUUCGGCCAUCGCACUCGCCGACGAGCUCCACGCCUCAGUGCCGUCCUCCCGCUCCCUCAUCCUCGGCGCGCCCGCCCCGUCCCUCGAGUCCUCUGCCGCCGCCACGGCCUCCUACCCCUUCGCCCCCGUCCCGCGCUGUCUCCCGCGCGCGCUCGUCGCCGCUGCGCUCCACCUACGCCGCUUCCGCCCCCACGUCCUCGUCGCCACCGGCGGCGCGCCCACGCUGCCGGCCUGCCUCGCCGCACUCCUCCUCGGCCUCCCCUUCGUGAUCCAGGACCAGGACGCCGCCCCCGCGCCCGCCACCCGCCUCCUCGCCCCCUUCGCCCGCCGUGUCUUCCUCGCCUUCAACGCCCCCGUGCGCCUCCUCCCCAAACGCAAGUGCGCCGUCUACGGGAACCCCGUCCGCAUGUCCAUCCGCAAGUGUCGGGUGUCCAAGGUUGAGGCCUUGCCGCGGUUCUUCCCAAGGGCGGGGUUGGUGGCCGAGGAGGGGGCGCAGGUUGUGCUAGUGCUUGGGGGAGCGGAGGGGUCGCCCGAGCUUAAUGUCGCGGUGCUCAACAUGUAUUACGAGAUGCUCAGGAAGAGGAAGGAUAGGUACAUUAUAUGGCAGACGGGGACAGAGAGUUUCUGCGAGAUGGAGAGCCUCGUCAGGGGCCAUCGCAGGCUGCUUCUUACCCCAUUCUUGCAUGAACUGGAAAUGGCAUAUGCUGCUGCCGACGUUGUAGUUUCUCAAGCUGGUGCAAUGACAUGCACUGAGAUAUUGGUCACUGGAAAACCAUCGAUUUUGAUACCGUUACCAACGAUUGUGGAUGACCAUCAAACGAAAAAUGCAUAUAUAAUGGCCGAUGUCAUGGGAGCAAAGGUUAUAACUGAAGAUGAACUUGAUUCUAGUAGUCUCACAUCGACAAUUGAUGAAGUUUUUGGUGAUGAAAAAUUGAUGGCAGACAUGUCUCAAAAGGCACUAACUGCAGCUCGACCAAAUGCUUCAGCUGAUAUAAUUCGCCACAUAUGUUCCCUGAUUGGUUCACCCUACCCAACAUGAAUCUUAUUUUAGACACUACAAAGAGAUCUUCAUUGUGUGAAUGCAUUCCCUAUUGUCUUUUGAGGAACAGCAGAAUGGCAUCUCAUUCUUGUGGUGGAAACUGAAGAUCUAAUACCUUUCAUGAUUGACUUGAAUGAUGAUAGAACUAUCUGGGCCCAAAAGAAUCAGGAAAUGGUGCCUCCAGCAACAUGAUCUGUGGAUGUAAAAUGUGAUCCAUGGUUAUUCAACAGUAAACCAUUUGACAGUGUCGUGGACAUACAUAAGAUGGCGAAACAAUAUUUCCCUACAUUUACUUAUGCUCUGGAGAAGUUAACAAUGGCCCUGCCCCUCUGAUUCAGAUGUCUGGUUUAACUUUUCGAUGAGAUAAAUGGUAACUGCAAUGCUCUUUGGUCAAGCUUUCCAUAUAUAAUAACCAUGUUAAUGGCAUAAAGUGAUCUCACUAUGUGCAAUCAUUUGUGUUUCUAACUGUAGUCAAGUGCUUGUAGUUUGUCAGUCUUGAUUUUUUAUUUAUUUUAACCCUUUUUAUUCUAAUAUUUUAUUAUUGACGCUUGCCAGACUACAUUUCUAGUAACUAACCCCCUUGGUCGUGCUAGUCUUUGUGGCAUGACAAAUGACUACUCACGCCACCUAUUAAAAAAGUUCCCUCUGUAACAUGACAAAAAUAUUAGUUCCUGAAAAUAUAGUAUAAGAAGGGGUUAGUAUUAAAAUAUUAGAAUAAAAAUGAUCAAAAUAAAAAAAUCUCAUAAGUCUGUAAUGGGUUCCUGUAGGAGCCUUGUAGAAUGUAGCUAUCAGUGUGCAUGCAUCGGAAUCAGCAUCUACGAGUGGAAAUAUCUGGCGAUUUAGUGCUGAAGGCAACUGCAGUUGCUAAAUCUUUUCACUGCAUGGAACUAGCGCAAUUUUUUGUUUACAUUGCACAUUUUUAGUCGAGGCAAGCUGAUUCUUA